rnacentral:lncRNA from 1 species
CCUACUAACUCCGGGUAUUUUUCUUUUGUUUUCCCCCUCCCCUGCAUUCAUAAAAAUGUUUCAAUAAGACGAAAAUAUUCUUCUAUAUCUGAUGCUAAUUUUAAUCCCAUAAAGUUUGAAGAUUACAAGUGUUAUUUGAUUCUUGGGCAGAUCCUACGAUUAAAACAUAAAUGAUCCAUCUGGAAGCUCUACGCUAAAGCCUCUGAGAGAUGUCGUAAUUGUUUUCCAAAGGGAAAUUCUGUUUAUUUGAUUUGUUAAAUUUUGUUCCAAAAGAAAAGGAAACAAUAAAUUCUCUUCUCAUUUGU